CUGAUGCAAACGUGCAUUAUGGUACUGUGUCCUUAUAAUUCAUCUCUUUCCUUUCCAAUCUCUAUCUAGCUUUAGAAUUGACAUUUAGUCGAAAUGGUCUAUUUCAACUCGACCCCAUGUAAACAUAAAAAAGUACGAAGUCUUUAUAACCAGUAGUCUCUGUCGUCUGUCAUUCAAAUCCAAACCAAAUCAACCCGACAAUCAACAUGGUGGUAGGUCUGGGAGGCAGUCCACCAGGCGUCCGCAACAAAAUUUGCUACUUAUUGGGAUACAUUUCCAAUAAGGAGUAAAAAUGCACGGAGUGUAGUCGGUCGCCUGGUAUGUAUGUAAAAGAAACAUGCAGAUGCCUAUCCUAAGGAGGAUGGAAAACUACCAGG